GGUGUGGAUAGGGGAGAAAUUCCAAUCGAACCCGGAGAUAGCUGGUUCUCCUCGAAAUAGCUUUAGGGCUAGCCUCUGGUUAGUCUGCCGCAGGUAGAGCACUGAAUUUCCUAGGGGGCGUCAAAGCCUACCGAAGAAUAUCAAACUGCGAAUGGCGGACAGAUGAUGCCAGGGAGUCAGACUGCACGAGAUAAGUUGGGUGGUCAAAAGGGAAAGAGCCCAGACCUACAGCUAAGGUCCCAAAGUGUGUGUUAAGUGGAAAAGGAUGUGGGAUUUCGAAGACAACUAGGAUGUUGGCUCAGAAGCAGCCACACAUUAAAAGAGUGCGUAAUAGCUCACUAGUCGAGAGGUCCUGCGCCGAAAAUGUCCGGGGCUAAAACACAACACCGAAGCUUAGGAAUUCUAAUGAAUUGGUAGAGGAGCAUUGAAGACGGAACGAAGCCAUACCGAAAGGAAUGGUGGACUGUCUUGAAGAGAGAAUGCCGGAAUGAGUAGCGAGAUUGAAGUGAGAAUCUUCAAGGCCGAAUAUCUAAGGUUUCCAGGGUAAAGCUGAUCUGCCCUGGGUAAGUCGGGGCCUAAGGCAAGGUCGAAAGACGUAGUCGAUGGAUAACAGGUUGAAAUUCCUGUACUGCAUCAAAUCAGAAAUGUGGGGACACAUGAGGGAAGCAUGAGCCGGAAAAGGAAAGUCCGGUACAAGCGCAGCAGAGGACAGAUAGGCAAAUCCGUCUGUCAACUCAAGGGCGCGAUGUGGAGCGAACCAAAGUAGCGAAGCAUGUGGAGCUUGUGUCGAGAAAAGCCGCUAUAGUGUUUGAUGUACCCGUACCGUAAACCGACACAGGUGGAUGAGGAGAGAAUCCUAAGGCCGGCGGGAGAAGCAUUGUUAAGGAACUCGGCAAAAUGACCCCGUAACUUCGGGAGAAGGGGUGCUCCAGAGAUGGAGCCGCAGAGAACUGGCCCAAGCAACUGUUUAGCAAAAACACAGGUCUAUGCAAAACCGAAAGGUGAGGUAUAUGGGCUGACGCCUGCCCGGUGCUGGAAGGUUAAGAGGAGAGGUUAGCGCAAGCGAAGCUUUGAAUUUAAGCCCCAGUAAACGGCGGCCGUAACUAUAACGGUCCUAAGGUAGCGAAAUUCCUUGUCGGGUAAGUUCCGACCCGCACGAAAGGCGUAAUGAUUUGGGCACUGUCUCAACAAUGCACCCGGUGAAAUUGAAAUACCAGUGAAGAUGCUGGUUACCUGCGCCAGGACGGAAAGACCCCAUGGAGCUUUACUCUAGCUUGAUACUGGGGUUCGGUAUUGCAUGUACAGGAUAGGUGGGAGACUGAGAAGAUGUGUCGCCAGAUGCAUCAGAGUCGAUGUUGGGAUACCACCCCUGCAGUACUGGGCUUCUAACCUGCAGCCGUGACCCGGCUGGGGGACAAUGUCUGGUGGGGAGUUUGACUGGGGCGGUCGCCUCCGAAAGAGUAUCGGAGGCGCUCAAAGGUUCCCUCAGAAUGGUUGGAAACCAUUCGAAGAGCGCAAAGGCAGAAGGGAGCUUGACUGCGACACCGACGGGUGGAGCAGGUACGAAAGUAGGACUUAGUGAUCCGGUGGUAUAAAGUGGGAUUGCCAUCGCUCAACGGAUAAAAGCUACCCUGGGGAUAACAGGCUUAUCACUCCCAAGAGUUCACAUCGACGGAGUGGUUUGGCACCUCGAUGUCGGCUCAUCGCAUCCUGGGGCUGUAGUAGGUCCCAAGGGUUGGGCUGUUCGCCCAUUAAAGCGGUACGCGAGCUGGGUUCAGAACGUCGUGAGACAGUUCGGUCCCUAUCCGGCGUGGGCGUAGGAUAUCUGAGAGGAGCUGUCCUUAGUACGAGAGGACCGGGAUGGACUGACCUCUGGUGCACCGGUUGCAUUGCCAAAUGCAUAGCCGGGUAGCCAAGUCGGGACGGGAUAAACGCUGAAGGCAUCUAAGCGUGAAGCCCCCCUCAAGAUGAGAUAUCCCAUAACGUAAGUUAGUAAGACCCCUUGA
rnacentral:rRNA from 1 species